rnacentral:ncRNA from 1 species
AAAAAGUUUGAUUUUAGCUUAAAUUUUAUUAGAACUUUGUUUUACAUGUAAGUUUUUGCGCGUAUAAGUAUUUAUUUUAGAUAAAUUUUACUUAAAUAAUAUUCGCAGUAUUUAGUAUUAAAUAUUAAGGUUAUUUAGAUUUGGUAAAAGUUUUAGUGCAGGAUAAAUUUGUGCCAGCAUCUGCGGUUACACAAAUUGUGCAAAUGAAAUUUUUUGGUUGGUAGUUAAUUGGUUUAUUAAAAUUAUUAUAUAAAUUUUUAGGUGAAAUUUAAUUUUAUGUUUUAUAUUUUUUUUAUUUAAAUGAAGCUACGAAAUUUUUUUAAAAAACUGGGAUUAGAUACCCUAUUAUUAAAAAUGUUAAUAUGAACCAGGGUAGUAGUAGUUAUGGUCUUGAAACCUAAAAAAUUUGGCGGUGUUUUAGUCUAUUUAGAGGAACCUGUUCCGUAAUCGAUAGUCCACGAUAAAUUUUACUAGGUUUUGUUUAGUUUGUAUACCGUCGUUAUCAGAAUAUUUUAUUAGAAUAUAAUUUUCUUAAAUUUUUAUAAAAAUUUAUUUCAGAUCAAGGUGCAGCUUAUAAUUUAGGGGAAAUGGGUUACAAUAAAUUAAUUUAAACGAAUAUAAAAUUGAAAUAUUUUAUUGAAGGUGGAUUUAAUAGUAAAUUAAGUUAUGUCACUUAAUUGAUUGUGGCUCUAAGACAUGCACACAUCGCCCGUCGCUCUUUUUUAAUUAAAGAUAAGUCGUAACAUAGUAGGUGUACUGGAAAGUGUGUCUAGAAUGCA